ACCGAUAUUUUACCGAUAUUUAAGCAUUUUACCAAAAUCAGAUAUCGGUCGAUCUCUAGUUUGAACCAUGCCUGUUAUGACCGUGUCUCUGUCUAAUAAAGCUCUGCAAAUGGAUCUGCACGCCUCUCGUCUUGUCGGCUCCGUUACAGAAAUAUAAAUAUUUGUUUUGCUGAAGUAAUUGUAUAUUAUUCAGAACCAGCUUAUCAGAGUGCUGAAAAGUGGAAGUCAGAGGAAACAUGACCAACCUGCUGCAAAACAAUAACACAAAAGGCCUGGACUCUGGAGUGCAGAAUUACUUGUUUGGUCAUCUACAUUCAGAUGAAAACACCACACUUCUCUCUAAUUCAAGAUGUCAAGCCUACUCAUCGCAAAGAGAGUUAGCAUCAAAAUGGAUGUCACUGACCAAUAACACAGAGAUGCCAGAAGUAUCUGUUUGCAGUCUACUUUUUGUUCAGUAUGGAGCAUCCAAAAGCCAUGACUCAGUUAAUUUCAAAUCAGCA